rnacentral:misc_RNA from 1 species
CAGAGUUCAUGCCCUUACGGGUAGAUCUCCCACCCUAUGUUAUUAUUACUUUGUUGCUUUGGCGGGCCGUUAGGCCCUUGGCCCGACUACCGGCUUCGGCUGAUAAGCGCCCGCCAGAGGACCCCAAACUCUGAAUGUUAGUGUUGUCUGAGUACUAUAUAAUAGUUA